rnacentral:rRNA from 1 species
CUACGGGUUGCUCCAGUGGGGAAUAUUGCACAAUGGACGAAAGUCUGAUGCAGCAACGCCGCGUGGAGGAUGACACAUUUCGGUGCGUAAACUCCUUUUAUAUAGGAAGAUAAUGACGGUACUAUAUGAAUAAGCACCGGCUAACUCCGUGCCAGCAGCCGCGGUAAUACGGAGGGUGCAAGCGUUACUCGGAAUCACUGGGCGUAAAGAGCGUGUAGGCGGGUAUAUAAGUCAGAAGUGAAAUCCAAUAGCUUAACUAUUGAACUGCUUUUGAAACUGUAUACCUAGAAUGUGGGAGAGGUAGAUGGAAUUUCUGGUGUAGGGGUAAAAUCCGUAGAGAUCAGAAGGAAUACCGAUUGCGAAGGCGAUCUACUGGAACAUUAUUGACGCUGAGACGCGAAAGCGUGGGGAGCAAACAGGAUUAGAUACCCGUGUAGUC